rnacentral:misc_RNA from 1 species
AUCGCAGGUGAGGCUUCCCGUC